AUAUUGGACAAUGGGGGCAACCCUGAUCCAGCCAUGCCGCGUGUGUGAAGAAGGUCUUCGGAUUGUAAAGCACUUUAAUUUGUGAGGAAGGUCUGUAGGUUAUUACCCUGAAGUUUUGACGUUACCAACUGAAUAAUACCCGGCUCACUCUGUUCCAGCAGCCGCGGCAAUACAGAGGGUGCAAGCGUUAAUCGGAAUUACUGGGCGUAAAGCGCGCGUAGGUGGUUCAGUAAGAUGGGUGUGAAAUCCCCGGGCUUAACCUGGGAACUGCUUUCAUAACUGCUGAGCUAGAGUACGGUAGAGGGUAGUGGAAUUUCCUGUGUAGCGGUGAAAUGCGUAGAUAUAGGAAGGAACACCAGUGGCGAAGGCGACUACCUGGACUGAUACUGACACUGAGGUGCGAAAGCGUGGGGAGCAAAC
rnacentral:rRNA from 1 species